GACAGGCACAUCCUCACAGACCCGGAGAGACUGACAGACAGACGGACAGGCACAUCCUCACACGCGGAUUGAGGGACAGAGUGGGGUUCAGCGCCGACGCCGUGGCUCAGGGGAGCAGGACAGGACAGGACAGGGCAGUCCCGCGGCUCCUGCUGCUGUCCAAGCCAUCGCACGGCCUUGCGGGGAGUGAUACUGGACUACUGCGCGUGCGCGGCUUGGCUGCUCAUCCCAGCUCUCCGCCAGCAGGCCUGGGCCCCAGGCGAGGAAUUCCAGCUUUAACAAAGACUGUUUUUCCAGAAGCAAAAUAAUGUAUCUUUUUAUAUAUACUGGGAUAGGGAGAGUAGAGUAAUUUAUCGUGUAGGAAUACGGUGUAUUUGUGUCUAAGUGUGUGUGUGUGUGUUUUCUUCAGGGCGGUUGUGUCUCUGCAGCUGUGUAUAAUGUAUACUAGUGUAUAAUGAGCCAGUGCUUCAGAAACUUCCCACGGGCAGAUUUAAGAAUGACUUUUUUUUUUUUGCUGUUUAUUUUUUUUAAACUGUUUAGAAUGCAAAACCUCCAGAUUCCUUUUAAAACACAGGAGGAAGAGUCCGGACAGCCGCCCGAGAGCGCCCCCUGCAGUUCAGGGUGGAGGCAGCGCUGGGCUCCGGAUCAGGGGGGGGACAGCCCAGCCGGCGGGAUUCCUGACAGCAGCCCGAAAGGCGCGCUGUGCUGCUGGUCGCACCCCUCCGACGCCCUUUGCGUAAAGACGGCCCGCUGCAGCGUGGGGCAGCGUUUGGAGAGGUUCGGGUACUGAACCGGGAAGAGCACUCUGAGUUCGUCACGGGUUUGCGGUCUCGUCUCUGUCUAGCGUGUACGUGUGCGUGUUACAAGAGCAAUAACUCCUCUAUACGUCACUGGUUUUACCUGCUAUCGAUC
rnacentral:lncRNA from 1 species